rnacentral:rRNA from 1 species
UGGGAGGUCCAGCCUGCCCAAUGAUACAUUGAAUGGCCGCGGUACUCUUACCGUGCGAAGGUAGCAUAAUCACUUGUUCAUUAAAUAUGGACUAGUAUGAACGGCAUCACGAGGGUCAUACUGUCUCCCUACUCCAAUCAAUGAAACUAUUUUUCCCGUGAAGAAACGGGAAUUAAACUAUAAGACGAGAAGACCCCAUGGAGCUUUAAACCCAGAACAUCUACCACCCACCCCAUUUUUACCUAACUAUAGUAUUUAUGUUUUCUGGUUUUUGGUUGGGGCGACCACGGAGCAAAAAAAAUCCUCCACGAUGAACAAGCUUUACUUUUACCCAUGAAGCACACUUCUAAGGACCCUUAAUAUGACAUUUCUUGACCCAAGCCUACUUGAUCAACGAACCUAGUUACCCUGGGGAUAACAGCGCAAUCCAUUUCAAGAGCCCAUAUCGACAAAUGGGUUUACGACCUCGAUGUUGGAUCAGGGUAUCCCAGUGGUGCACCCGCUACUAAAGGUUUGUUUGUUCAACAAUUAAUAACCCUACGUGAUCUGAGUUCA